UACGGGGGGGGCAAGCGUUGUUCGGAAUUACUGGGCGUAAAGGGCUCGUAGGCGGCCAACUAAGUCAGACGUGAAAUCCCUCAGCUUAACUGGGGAACUGCGUCCGAUACUGGUGGGCUUGAGUGCAGGAGAGGAACGCGGAAUUCCAGGUGUAGCGGUGAAAUGCGUAGAUAUCUGGAGGAACACCGGUGGCGAAGGCGGCGUUCUGGACUGCAACUGACACUGAUGAACGAAAGCCAGGGGAGCAAACGGG
rnacentral:rRNA from 1 species